GACGAACGCUGGCGGCGUGCUUAACACAUGCAAGUCGAACGGAAAGGCCCCCACCUUGGUGGGGGUGCUCGAGUGGCGAACGGGUGAGUAACACGUGGGUGAUCUGCCCUGUACUUCGGGAUAAGCUUGGGAAACUGGGUCUAAUACCGGAUAGGACCAUGGUUUAGUGUCUCAUGGUGGAAAGAUUAUUGUUUUGGUGCAGGAUGAGCUCGCGGCCUAUCAGCUUGUUGGUGGGGUAAUGGCCUACCAAGGCGUCGACGGGUAGCCGGCCUGAGAGGGUGGACGGCCACAUUGGGACUGAGAUACGGCCCAGACUCCUACGGGAGGCAGCAGUGGGGAAUAUUGCACAAUGGGCGCAAGCCUGAUGCAGCGACGCCGCGUGGGGGAUGACGGCCUUCGGGUUGUAAACUCCUUUCAUUAGGGACGAAGCCGCACCUUUUUUGGGUGUGGUGACGGUACCUUUGUUAAGAAGCACCGGCUAACUACGUGCCAGCAGCCGCGGUAAUACGUAGGGUGCGAGCGUUGUCCAGAAUUACUGGGCGUAAAGAGCUCGUAGGUGGUUUGUUGCGUCAUCUGUGAAAUUCCGGGGCUUAACUUCGGGGUGGCAGGCGAUACUGGCAUAACUAGAGUGCUGUAGGGGAGACUGGAAUUCCUGGUGUAGCGGUGGAAUGCGCAGAUAUCAGGCGGAACACCGAUGGCGAAGGCACGUCUCUGGGCAGUAACUGACGCUGAGGAGCGAAAGCAUGGGGAGCGAACAGGAUUAGAUACCCUGGUAGUCCAUGCUGUAAACGGUGGGCGUUAGGUGUGGGGACCGGUUUGGUUUCUGUGCCGUAGCUAGCGCAUUAAGCGCCCCGCCUGGGGAGUACGGCCGCAAGGCUAAAACUCAAAGGAAUUGACGGGGGCCCGCACAAGCGGCGGAGCAUGUGGAUUAAUUCGAUGCAACGCGAAGAACCUUACCUGGGUUUAACAUGCACCAGCCGGUUGUAGAGAUACGUACCUCCCUUUGUGGUUGGUGUGCAGGUGGUGCAUGGUUGUCGUCACCUCAGUGUCGUGAGAUGUUGGGUUAAGUCCCGCAACGAGCGCAACCCUUGUCUUAUGUUGCCAGCACUUUGCUUGGGGACUCAUGAGAGACUGCCGGGGUUAACUCGGAGGAAGGUGGGGAUGACGUCAAAUCAUCAUGCCCUUCAUGCCCAGGGCUUCACACAUGCUACAAUGGUUAGUACAACGCGCUGCGACCCUGUGAGGGUGACCGAAUCGCUGAAAGCUAAUCUCAGUUCGGAUUGGGGUCUGCAACUCGACCCCAUGAAGUCGGAGUCGUCUAGUAAUCGCAGAUCAGCAACUGCUGCGGUGAAUACGUUCUCCGGGCCU
rnacentral:rRNA from 1 species